GACGUAGGGCGCGAGCGUUGUCCGGAUUUAUUGGGCGUAAAGAGCUCGUAGGCGGCUUGUCGCGUCGACCGUGAAACCUCACAGCUCAACUGUGAGCCUGCGGUCGAUACGGGCAGGCUAGAGUUCGGUAGGGGAGACUGGAAUUCCUGGUGUAGCGGUGAAAUGCGCAGAUAUCAGGAGGAACACCGGUGGCGAAGGCGGGUCUCUGGGCCGAUACUGACGCUGAGGCGCGAAAGUCAGGGGAGCGAACAGG
rnacentral:rRNA from 1 species